rnacentral:rRNA from 1 species
AGAGUUUGAUCAUGGCUCAGAACGAACGUUAGCGGCGCGCUUAACACAUGCAAGUCGAGCGAGAAAGGGGCAACCCCGGUAAAGCGGCGCACGGGUGAGUAACACGUAGAUAAUCUACCCCCAGGUGGUGGAUAACCUUCCGAAAGGAGGGCUAAUACAGCAUGAGACCACGACUCCGAAAGGGGAUGAGGUCAAAGCCGGCCUCUUCAAGAAAGCUGGCGCCAGGGGAUGAGUCUGCGGCCCAUCAGCUAGUUGGUAGGGUAACGGCCUACCAAGGCGAAGACGGGUAGCUGGUCUGAGAGGAUGAUCAGCCACACUGGAACUGAGACACGGUCCAGACUCCUACGGGAGGCAGCAGUGGGGAAUCUUGCGCAAUGGGCGAAAGCCUGACGCAGCGACGCCGCGUGAGUGAUGAAGGCCUUCGGGUUGUAAAGCUCUGUGGAGGGGGACGAAUAAGUCGUGGCCAACAUCCACGAUGAUGACGGUACCCCUUUAGCAAGCACCGGCUAACUCUGUGCCAGCAGCCGCGGUAAGACAGAGGGUGCAAACGUUGUUCGGAAUUACUGGGCGUAAAGCGUGUGUAGGCUGCCCCGCAAGUCGGAUGUGAAAGCCCUGGGCUCAACCUGGGAAGUGCACUCGAAACUGCGGGGCUGGAGUCCUGGAGAGGAAGGCGGAAUUCUCGGUGUAGAGGUGAAAUUCGUAGAUAUCGAGAGGAACACCGGUGGCGAAGGCGGCCUUCUGGACAGUGACUGACGCUGAGACACGAAAGCGUGGGGAGCAAACAGGAUUAGAUACCCUAGUAGUCC